rnacentral:rRNA from 1 species
GUCCUUUAGAUGUUAAUUUAAGGUCUAACCUGCCCACUGAAUUAUUUUAAAUGGCCGCAGUAAUUUGACUGUGCAAAGGUAGCAUAAUCAUUAGUUUUUUAAUUGAAAGCUUGUAUGAAAGGUUGGACGAAGUAAAAUCUGUCUCUAAUUAAAUUAAUUUAGAAUUUAACUUUUAAGUUAAAAGGCUUAAAUUUAACUAAAAGACGAGAAGACCCUAUAGAUCUUUAUAUUUAAAUUAAUAAAUUUAAUUAAGAAUUUUUAAAAUUUUAUUAAUUUAAUUAUUUUAUUGGGGUAAUAUAAAGAUUAAAAUAAUUCUUUUUUUUUAUUAACAUUAAUUUAUGAUUUUGAUGAUCCAAUUAUAUUGAUUUUAAGAUUAAGUUACCUUAGGGAUAACAGCGUAAUUUUUUUAGAGAGUUCUUAUCGAUAAGAAAGUUUGCGACCUCGAUGUUGGAUUAAAGAUUAUUUUAGGUGUAGAAGCUUAAAAAUUUUGGUCUGUUCGACCAUUAAAUCUUUACAUGAUCUGAGUUCAGACCGGUGUAAGCCAGGUCGGUUUCUAUCUUUAGUAAAUUAAAAUAUUUUAGUACGAAAGGACCAAUUAUUUAAUAUAAAUAUUUAAAUUUUGAUUAUUAUUAA